ACACAUGCAAGUCGAGGGGAAACGACAUCGAAAGCUUGCUUUUGAUGGGCGUCGACCGGCGCACGGGUGAGUAACGCGUAUCCAACCUGCCCAUCACUUGGGGAUAACCUUGCGAAAGUAAGACUAAUACCCAAUAAUAUCUCUAGAAGGCAUCUGAAAGAGAUUAAAGAUUUAUCGGUGAUGGAUGGGGAUGCGUCUGAUUAGCUUGUUGGCGGGGUAACGGCCCACCAAAGCAACGAUCAGUAGGGGUUCUGAGAGGAAGGUCCCCCACAUUGGAACUGAGACACGGUCCAAACUCCUACGGGAGGCAGCAGUGAGGAAUAUUGGUCAAUGGACGAGAGUCUGAACCAGCCAAGUAGCGUGCAGGAUGACGGCCCUAUGGGUUGUAAACUGCUUUUAUAAGGGAAUAAAGUGAGUCUCGUGAGACUUUUUGCAUGUACCUUAUGAAUAAGGACCGGCUAAUUCCGUGCCAGCAGCCGCGGUAAUACGGAAGGUCCGGGCGUUAUCCGGAUUUAUUGGGUUUAAAGGGAGCGUAGGCCGGAGAUUAAGCGUGUUGUGAAAUGUAGAUGCUCAACAUCUGCACUGCAGCGCGAACUGGUUUCCUUGAGUACGCACAAAGUGGGCGGAAUUCGUGGUGUAGCGGUGAAAUGCUUAGAUAUCACGAAGAACUCCGAUUGCGAAGGCAGCUCACUGGAGCGCAACUGACAUUGAGGCUCGAAAGUGUGGGUAUCAAACAGGAUUAGAUACCCUGGUAGUCCACACGGUAAACGAUGAAUACUCGCUGUUUGCGAUAUACAGCAAGCGGCCAAGCGAAAGCGUUAAGUAUUCCACCUGGGG
rnacentral:rRNA from 1 species